AUAGUCUAGCCUUAAUACUUUUAUGGUUGGUAAAGAUAGCCUCUUCUUGAAAGCUAUUGCCUGUAGAUGAGUCCGCGUCUCAUUAGCUUGUUGGUAGGGUAACGCCUACCAAGGCAACGAUGAGUAACUGGUCUGAGAGGAUGAUCAGUCACACUGGAACUGAAACACGGUCCAGACUCUACGGGAGGCAGCAGUGGGGAAUAUUGGGCAAUGGGCGCAAGCCUGACCCAGCAACGCCGUGUGAGGGAUGAAGGUCUUCGGAUUGUAAACCUCUGUCAGAAGGGAAGAAGUGCAUAGGGUCCAAUAGGCCUUAUGUUUGACGGUACCUUCAGAGGAAGCACCGGCUAACUCCGUGCCAGCAGCCGCGGUAAUACGGAGGGUGCAAGCGUUAUUCGGAAUUACUGGGCGUAAAGCGUACGUAGGCGGCAUAGUAAGUCAGGUGUGAAAUCCCACGGCUCAACCGUGGAACUGCACUUGAAACUGCUAAGCUUGAGUACUGGAGGGGGUGGCGGAAUUCCUGGUGUAGGAGUGAAAUCCGUAGAUAUCAGGAGGAACACCAGUGGCGAAGGCGGCCACCUGGACAGUAACUGACGCUGAGGUACGAAAGCGUGGGUAGCAAACAGGAUUAGAUACCCUGGUAGUCCACGCUGUAAACGAUGGAUACUAGAUGUCGGGCCUUGAGCUUCGGUGUCAAACGUAACGCAUUAAGUAUCCCGCCUGGGAGUACGGUCGCAAG
rnacentral:rRNA from 1 species